GUUGGUUUAAUUCGAAGAUACACGAAGAACCUUACCUGGCCUUGACAUGGUAGGAACCCUUAAGAGAUUAGGGGGUGCUAGCUUGCUAGAACCUACACACAGGUGCUGCACGGCUGUCGUCAGCUCGUGUCGUGAGAUGUUGGGUUAAGUCCCGCAACGAGCGCAACCCUCGUCCUUAGUUGCUAACAGUUCGGCUGAGCACUCUAGGGAGACUGCCUUCGCAAGGAGGAGGAAGGUGAGGACGACGUCAAGUCAUCAUGGCCCUUACGGCCAGGGCUACACACGUGCUACAAUGGGGCGUACAGAGAGCUGCGAUACCGCGAGGUGGAGCCAAUCUCUUAAAGCGUCUCUCAGUUCGGAUUGUUCUCUGCAACUCGAGAACAUGAAGCUGGAAUCACUAGUAAUCGCAGAUCAGCUAUGCUGCGGUGAAUACGUUCCCGGGUCUU
rnacentral:rRNA from 1 species